rnacentral:ncRNA from 1 species
AGCUCUUUCUUGAUUCGGGAGAUGGUGGUGCAUGUCUGUUCUUAGUUGGUGUAACGAUUUGUAUGAUUAAUUUUGAUAAUGAACGAGACUCUAGCCUAUUAAAUAGGUGCGUGGUUCUCUGCACCUUCUACCUUUAUUAGCGGCUCCUAGCCUCACGAAACAGAGCAAUAACAGGUCUAUGAUGCCCUUAGAUGUUCGGGGUCGCACGUGCGCUACACUGAAGGAAGCAGCGUGUUUUAACCCUGUCUGUUAAGACAGUAAGCUUAGAAAAAAGUGACGAGCAAAAAUUGAAGUCAAUCGGAUUACC